UUUGUCAGUUUCCUGAAACCUCUCACAUAGGCUAAGGAAAGUCUCUCAGAGUAAAAAUGAAAGUAAGGCAGUUGAAAGGAUCUCUACCUCUCCUCCCACACAAUCACAUCUCAAUACACCUAAUCUAGCCCCGCCCCUUUUCAACGCUGCGUGCGCUCGUUGUCUUUUGACUUCCGGUCUGUGUUUUCACAGCGAUCUUGCAUAGGUGUGAAUGAACUGCUCGUAAAACAUUUUCCUGGUCGACAUUUGGCACAUCACAUUGGUGUGUGUAAAGGGACGGAGCUACCACUGAUACAGUGCUGCAGCCGGUAUCACUGCCCGCUGUGCCAUUCCAAAAUUUUUAAACCCACAGACCGAUACCGUGUAAUCAGUCAUUUAAAGGCUCACCUUGCGAGAUCUGUAAAAUACAAAGAUUAAUCAAUCAUCUAAGUAAAAACCAUUGUAUAGAGGCUGAGACAUCACUCACUGGAGCCGACGAUGGAACAGCGCUGAACUGGAAAGAGGCUGAGACAUCACUCACCAAAGUAGAGGUCAGAAAACCACUUACUGGGGAAAAGGAUGGAACAGCACCAUUGUUAAGCAUAAAAACUCGCAGAGAGCAAACAGUAAUUUGCCCCAAAUGCAACAUGUGUAUGAACAAAAAAAACAUGUUACGUAACACAUAUUACGUAAGCAUUCAGGUGUCCACACUGGAUGUCACCUCAAACUUGCACCUGCCAAGCCAGUGCCUGGAUCAUCUAAAUGGGAUAUUUGCUGUGGUUAAAACCAUGCACGGAUCAAGUGUGCCGUUUCAUGUCAAAAGAAAGAUCUGGAGUAACACGCAACAAGUAUACUGUGAAUCACCUCAAUGCCAGUCUAACCAUGAAUUGGCGCAACGCUAAAUUUCAUUUCAUUUAUUUAUUUAUUUCAACAGGGACAAUGUGCAAAAAACAUUAAUUAAAGAUGCUUUGCACCAGAUUUAGCUUAAGCUAGUUUCCAUCUGCAGUCCCCGAGCAGGUGAAUUACAAUACAAAAUAUACAAUAUAAAAUGUUAGAAUUAGUCACUCAAAUACAACUAUCAAUUAAUUCAUUCAUCCAUUCUCUAUUUCAACCAUCAAUAAAACCUCAAUAAAACAUCACUAAAAGUCAUAUUUACAUACAUAAUUAUCUAUGCUGGCACAACUGGUUGUUCAAUAGCACUUUCCUUAUAUUGCUAGAAAAAUCCUUCAGGUCAAAAGUGAGUUUUAGAGCCUUUGGGAGUUUGUUCCAUUCUUUAAUCAAAGGUGGUCUCCUUUCAGUGCUCCCAUGUCAGGUCAGUCGACUACUGUUCAUCAACUGCUGAAAGUGAGCACCUAAAAGAAGAUGUUUUGUCAGAGAUGGUUGCAAAGAAAUGGUUUGGAGGAGACAGAAAGGCAGAGUGCCUGAAGCUUCAAAGUCUGGCAACAUCUCAAUCGGUCCCUUUGUCUGUUGAGACCACAGUUGGCGUGCCUACUUUCAAGCAUUAUGUUUCUGUGUUUGAACCAAAGUUUUCUUAUUACUCGCAUUUAAGAAGAGUGAUGGUGGUGUAUAAUGCUAGAACAAACUCUUGGCAUUGCCCUUGCAUUCAAUCCCGACGUUCGUGUCCACAUAAGUACAUUGCUAAGUGGCACCUAUUUCAAAAGUACCCCAAACUCUUCAGAAGCAAAUAGAGCACAGAACCUUGCAUUGAAGUGGACCAGACUACUCCAGAUAUUGAUGAUGACUUGCCUGAUGGUGGUACACACUACCCCUCCAAUGGAACAAUGCUAAAAAACAUGGUUACAUACCUCUAUGAACAGAAGAUCCCAGACAUUCUUCCAAGAGAGCUUUGCUGUCAAGUCCAUGACAACGCUUUUCCUAAACUGCUGGUUUCAGAUGAGAUGUUCUGUACCUUCUCUCAUGACAAGAGCCCACUCUCUGACCCGAUUCUUAUCACUUCGAAAGCUAGAAUUGUUACAAUGAAUGGCAUUGUAGAAGAGGUAUCUACAUUUUGCAAGAAGUGCAUCAAGUGUGGUGCCAUGUACCGAUAUCAAGAAUUUAAAGAUCAACUACACAACUUCAAUGACCAUGUUCUGAUAAGUCUCAAUUUGUGUCUCUUUUUGAGGAGUUCACUACAGACCCAUUCUGCAGUGAGUCGAGUUAUUGACAGUCUGGAGAAUCUUAACCAUGUGAAGUAUCCUUCGUCAGACACAUGUCUUCAUGCAUACCUACAUUUUGAGGCCCUCUGUGACAACACAUACAACUUCUCGUGUGCUUCAUGUGGUGACCAUCCACCUGUUGUUAUUAUGGAUCUACAUAUAGUUUUUUCCAUGGCUGUGAGUGACAUUGAAGAGACACCAAAGGAUUUCAAAGGAAGGGUAAACAUUGAGGCGUUUUGGAACGCAGUGUCCUUGGAGAUGAUUGGAUGGGGAUUUGUGUCAAGUAAUAAUCAGAAUCCAGAAUCCAAGGUACUGCCCUCCUACCAUUUCUGGGCAACUUGAAUUGGGCACAAAACAAGGUCCUCCAAUGAGGUGCUCAACACAGAAUUUGGAAAGAUUAAGACUCCUAAGGUGUCUGAAGAGUCCCAAGUCUACCAUGUUACAGAAGAUAGAUUGAUGGAGGAGUUCAUGAACCAAAAGGUUGAUGUUGUUCGUAAACUGUGCAAGGAAUGUGGUCUGGACACAGUUGGAUCAAAACUGGACCUCAUUUCACGCUUGCAUAGUGAAAUGCAAACACAGCACAGCUACGACAAGAUUUUCCGGAAAAUAUGGGGUGCAUCAGGCAUGGUAGAAAGUUUGCUCACUGGACAGACAUGGCAAAGGCUGUGGUUAUGGGGAAACUUCAGUCAGUUUUCCGCAUUCCAAGGAAACAGAAACUUGAACAAGUCAUGCAAGAACAUGCAUACACUAAGAGGGCAGAGAGAAGCACCGCAAGCUAGAGACUCGUCCUGAGUCCUUGGAAUGUAUUUGAAGCAUCACUAUAGAGAGCAUUAUACUGUAUUUCAGUGUUGUAGUCGAGACCGAGACCAGAGAGAGUCGAGUCCGAGUCAAGACCGAGUC